rnacentral:rRNA from 1 species
ACGGAGGGUGCAAGCGUUAUUCGGAAUUACUGGGCGUAAAGCGCGUGUAGGCGGUCCUGCAAGUCUGAUGUGAAAGCCCCGGGCUUAACCCGGGAAGUGCAUUGGAAACUGUGGGACUUGAGUACUGGAGAGGAUGGGGGAAUUCCCGGUGUAGAGGUGAAAUGCGUAGAGACCGGGAGGAAUAUGAGUGGCGGAGGCGCCCAUCUGGAAUGUAACUGACGCUGAGACGCGAAAGUGUGGUGAGCAGACAG